CGAUUGGCCACACGGGGGCAGCAGAGACUGCGGAAACUCCUUCCCAACCCGGCUGACGGCCCGCCGGGAACUGCGGCGGGGUUUCGUUUCUCUCUUUCCUGGAUAGCAGAGGAAAGAAAUAACCACAGAAGAGGAAGGGGUCGCAGAAUGGGAGACGACGAAGAAAACCAAGGAAAACUUCGAUAGACAUACACACUGUGUGAAGUGCUUAUGAAUACCUGUAAAUAAACAAAUAAGCAGCAAAAUCAUGUUGUCAUGGCUUUUUAAACAAUAUUAUUAUUUUUUUUUCAGCUAGCAUCUGAGGUGAUGAAAAAAACAUGGUAUCAACCAGACCGGCACACAGAGAAGCCACGAAUGGCCCUUAAAUGAGCUCAGGGAGGGGUGGGGGCAGGCCCCAUAGAGCCCCAUAGAGCCCCAUAGAGCCCCAUAGCCGCCCCAUAGAGCCCCAUAGAGCCCCAUAGCCGCCCCAUAGAGCCCCAUAGCCCAGAGCCCCAUAGAGCCCCAUAGAGCCCCAUAGCCGCCCCAUAGAGCCCCAUAGAGCCCCAUAGAGCCCCAUAGAGCCCCAUAGAGCCCCAUAGAGCCCCAUAGAGCCCCAUAGAGCCCCAUAGCCGCCCCAUAGAGCCCCAUAGAGCCCCAUAGAGCCCCAUAGCCGCCCCAUAGAGCCCCAUAGAGCCCCAUAGCCGCCCCAUAGAGCCCCAUAGAGCCCCAUAGGCCCCAUAGAGCCCCAUAGAGCCCCAUAGAGCCCCAUAGCCGCCCCAUAGAGCCCCAUAGAGCCCCAUAGAGCCCCAUAGAGCCCCAUAGCCGCCCCAUAGAGCCCCAUAGAGCCCCAUAGAGCCCCAUAGAGCCCCAUAGAGCCCAUAGGGCCCCAUAGAGCCCCAUAGCCGCCCCAUAGAGCCCCAUAGAGCCCCAUAGAGCCCCAUAGAGCCCCAUAGCCGCCCCAUAGAGCCCCAUAGAGCCCCAUAGAGCCCCAUAGCCGCCCCAUAGAGCCCCAUAGAGCCCCAUAGAGCCCAUUCAGCCCCAUAGAGCCCCAUAGAGCCCCAUAGAGCCCCAUAGCCGCCCCAUAGAGCCCCAUAGAGCCCCAUAGAGCCCCAUAGCCGCCCCAUAGAGCCCCAUAGAGCCCCAUAGAGCCCCAUAGCCGCCCCAUAGAGCCCCAUAGAGCCCCAUAGAGCCCCAUAGCCCC
ensembl:lncRNA